CAGGGCGGACUGAUCAGCCAUGCCGCGUGUGUGAGAAGGCCUUUUGGUUGUAAAGCACUUUAAGCGAGGAGGAGGCUCCUUUAGUUAAUACCUAAAGAGAGUGGACGUUACUCGCAGAAUAAGCACCGGCUAACUCAGUGCCAGCACCCGCGGUAAAUG
rnacentral:rRNA from 1 species